rnacentral:sRNA from 1 species
GCCUAGCCCCGAUUGAAACGACAUCCUUUUUUCUUUUUCGGAAAAAAGAUAUAGUGUAAAGCGGGAAAUAGC